UCGGCAGAGGCGGGAGCGAAGGGCACUGCUAGCGUGGAGGGAAGGGAUGCCCAGAGCUCCGUGGAGGAACCAUUCAUGUGUUUAGAGUGCUCCUUUUCCCCGGCUACAUGCUUGGCUUAUAAGCAUUUUCUGCCAGCGUUGGUUGUGACACCAUUUUCUUUAUGGGAACAAACUGAAAGACAGGAAAUUUAGGUUAGCUAUUAGAAAGAAAUUCUUGUCUGUGACAGUGGUGAGACGCUGGAACAGGUUGCCCAGGAGGUUGUGGAUUCCACAAUCCCUGCAGUGUUCGAAGCCAGAUUGGAUAAAGCCUUGAGAAGCUUGGACUAUGGAACCGGGGAUGUGUCCCUGUCCCGUGGCAGGGAGAUUGGAACUAGGUGAUCUUUAAGAUCUGUUUCAACCCUUAGCACUUACUGACUCCGUGACUCGAUGCCACGGCACAAGCCUCAGGCGGGGCAGGUGUCUGGGCUGGCUGUCCCCCUGCACCUGGAGUCUCCUUCCUGGGCACAGAAGCUGUGGGGACAGGAGAAGCAAGCCUUUUGCUUGAUUUUGACAGCAGAAUCUGACAGGGUCAGAUACAAAAAUUCUGCACAAAAACCAUGCUACAGAAAAUGGAGAAAAGUGAAAAAUUUCUCUGGGCAGCAUAAUAGAGAGACACACUAAAAACAACAAUUUAUAAAUCUGGUGGGUUUACAGAUGUGAGUACUUAAAAUUAAUUUUUCAAUUGUUAGUGAAUUUGUUCAAAGUCAGAUGUAGUAAGACAGAUAACAGGAGUCAUUUUGUAGCAAUGAUGAAUUGGAAUGGUUUAUAUGGGGUAGUGGUGUCUUUUGUUAAACACAGGUGGGAAAAUAGCCCAAACUUUUAAACUUAGCCGUUUUUGUCCAGCGAGUUUGAGGGAAAGACUUGAAAAACUGCUUCCCACAUCUUUUUCACAGCUGAACUAGUUACCAGCCUAAUAAAGCAUGUCUCUCACAUCAAAGCUUCAGUCAUCUGCAGAAAAGACAUAACAAGAAUAUCUGCAUCUCACAAAAUUUGUUAGUUUUUCUCUUUUUCAAAGUCUUUUUCCAGUGCAUGAGUGAUGCCAGCAUUCACAACAGCUCAGAUUUACCUCACCUAAUCCAAACUUUUCUCUUUUGUGAUGCUUCAGCUAGGAGGAGUGUUCUGUCGUUUAUGUAGCAGAGGAAGAUUUUAUAGCUGUUCAAAGGCACCAGUGGUUUGGUGAAGCCAGUUGCCCUUGAGGGCUGCAUCGUGAACUGAGGUAAAUUGUCUAUCAGCUGACGGGUUAUCGUAGCUCAGCUGAAGAUCUUUUGGGCAGAUCCAGCUUUGUGUCCUUCUCUCCCUACCAGAAAGGAAGCCAGUGGUUUGGGCAGCAUGUGAAGGCUCCUGUGUUUCAUGUGACCCAGAUCUUCAAACCCCUGCCCUCCCUGCUGCCUCUCUUUUGAGUGGGGAAAAGACAGAGGUAGCACAUGGCAGCUGGAAUUUGAGGUUGCCACCUUAUUAACUGCCAAAGGAGGGUGCCGAAUUCAGGAGCUGCCUUUGGCAGCUGCAGGAACAGGAUGGUCCUGUGUUAGAUCACGACUGAUGGGCUUGAGCAUGUGUGCAAGUGAACGUGCUGCUAAUUGCUUGCACAGCUCCUGGAACCAUUUUGACCCUGACUAAUUAGCACCAUCCCAAACAAUGUCUGAGUGCAGUCUGAGAAUGAGCAUGGGCCUGGGACUGUUCCUAAUAAGCCGUGUGGAUGAGGCCUUUCUGGGUUUUGGAUUGGGUUUUUUUUGAGUAGGGGAGAAGAGGAGAAAGAGUUUAGCUCCACGGAUGUGAGCUGUGCCA